GCCUGACCCAGUGACAGGCCAGCAAUGACAACAUUGAGCAUGGUGGUGAAAGAAUCUCCUCCAUUUGCAAUGUUCUUGUGCACAACAAUGCUAGUAAACCACACAAGCAAUGACCAAGAAAGGAAAAGGAUACAAUGCAAGGUGCCCAAACCCAAGCCCUUGGCGAAUCCAGCUUUUCUCCCAUACUUAUAAGUGUUCAACAAGGCACCUUUAUACGAUUUUACCGCAUUCUCUUCUCCAGUAAAUGCUUGCACUGUUCUAAUAUUAGCCACAACCUCUUCAGCAAUCUCUCCAGCUUUAAUAUAGGAUUUGCGGACUCGAGCAAUGAGACCAAUGGUAACAUAGGCAUAAAUACCACCAGCAAGAGCGAUCAAAGGCACAAUUGAAAGCGUCACCAAACUGAUCUGCCAUACUCUUAUGAACCCAAUUGUAAAACCAGCUAAGAAACGGCU
rnacentral:misc_RNA from 1 species